GACGAACGCUGGCGGCGUGCUUAACACAUGCAAGUCGAACGGAAAGGCCCUGCUUGCAGGGUACUCGAGUGGCGAACGGGUGAGUAACACGUGGGUGAUCUGCCCUGCACUUCGGGAUAAGCCUGGGAAACUGGGUCUAAUACCGGAUAGGAGCCAUUUUUAGUGUGAUGGUUGGAAAGUUUUUUCGGUGUAGGAUGAGCUCGCGGCCUAUCAGCUUGUUGGUGGGGUAAUGGCCUACCAAGGCGGCGACGGGUAGCCGGCCUGAGAGGGUGGACGGCCACAUUGGGACUGAGAUACGGCCCAGACUCCUACGGGAGGCAGCAGUGGGGAAUAUUGCACAAUGGGCGAAAGCCUGAUGCAGCGACGCCGCGUGGGGGAUGACGGACUUCGGGUUGUAAACUCCUUUCGCUAGGGACGAAGCUUUUUGUGACGGUACCUAGAUAAGAAGCACCGGAUAACUACGUG
rnacentral:rRNA from 1 species